rfam:Streptomyces sp. 769, complete genome.
CGCUCAUCCAGAGGGGCAGAGGGACACGGCCCGUUGAAGCCCCGGCAACCCUCCAGCCGGUCUCCGCCGCACGACAGCACAGUGCGCGCGCGAGGCUCCCGGCUAGGGAAGGUGCCAAAUCCGUCUCACGGCGAAAUGCGUCGUGAGGAAGAUGAGGA